AGUGAACGCUGGCGGUAGGCCUAACACAUGCCAGUCGAACGGCAGCACAGUAAGAGCUUGCUCUUACGGGUGGCGAGUGGCGGACGGGUGAGGAAUACAUCGGAAUCUACUUUUUCGUGGGGGAUAACGUAGGGAAACUUACGCUAAUACCGCAUACGACCUACGGGUGAAAGCAGGGGAUCUUCGGACCUUGCGCGAUUGAAUGAGCCGAUGUCGGAUUAGCUAGUUGGCGGGGGAAAGGCCCACAAGGCGACGAUCCGUAGCUGGUCUGAGAGGAUGAGCAGCCACGCGGGAACUGAGACACGGUCCAGACUCGUACGGGAGGAAGCGGUGGGAAAUAGUGGACAAGGGGGGAAAGCCUGAUCCACCCUUACCGGGUGGGUGAAGAAGCCCUGCGGUUUGUAAAGCCCUUUUGUUGGGAAAGAAAAGCAGCAGGUUAAUACCCCGCUGUUCUGACGGUACCCAAGGAAUAAGCACCGGCGAACUUC
rnacentral:rRNA from 1 species